AUAGUCGGGGGCUUCAGUAUCCUACCUGACUGAGGUGAAACUCCUGGAUUUGCUGAAGACUAACUACUGCGAAAGCUUCUCGCCGAGGAUGUUUUCAUUAAUCCCGGAACGAAAGUUAGGGGACUCGAAGACUAUCAGAUACCGCUCAUACCCCUCAACCAUAAACUACUGCCGACUAGGGAUCGGUCGCUGUUUCUAUGACGACCCGCUCGGCUCCUAACGAUAAAUCAAAGAUUUCGGGUUCUGCGGGUAGUAUGGCCGCAAGGCUGAAACUUGAAGAAAUUGACGGAAGGGCACCACACGGCGUGGAGCCUGCGGCUUAAUCUGACUCACCACGGGAAAACUCACCCGCUCCCGACAAAAUCAGGACUGCCAGAUUGAGAGCUCUUUCUUGAUCUUUGGCAUGGGGGUGCCUGGCCCUUCUAAGUCGACGGAGUGAUUUGUCUGCUUCAUUGCGAUCUACGAACGAGACCUCCGCCCUUAAACAGCCCGAUCAGCGUCCACGGGCCCCUGGAUUCUUAUGGGGACCAUCGGCUCAACCCGAACGAACUGCGCGCCAAUAACAGGUCUGUGAUGCCAUAAAAUGUUCUGCGCCGCUCGCGCGCUACACUGACAGGUACAGCGAGACCUCACCUUGGCCGAGAGGCCCGGCCAAUCUUGUUACACCCUGUCUUGCUGAGAAUAGGGCCUUGCAAU
rnacentral:rRNA from 1 species